CAAGGUAUAGCUUAUAUAAAGCAUCUAGUCUACACCUAGAAGAUUUCACACACUAUGAAUACCUUGA
rnacentral:tRNA from 1 species